AUUGAACGCUGGCGGCAUGCUUUACACAUGCAAGUCGAACGGUAACAGGCCGCAAGGUGCUGACGAGUGGCGAACGGGUGAGUAAUGCAUCGGAACGUGCCCAGUCGUGGGGGAUAACGCAGCGAAAGCUGCGCUAAUACCGCGUACGAUCUAUGGAUGAAAGCGGGGGACCGUAAGGCCUCGCGCGAUUGGAGCGGCCGAUGUCAGAUUAGGUAGUUGGUGGGGUAAAGGCUCACCAAGCCAACGGUCUGUAGCUGGUCUGAGAGGACGACCAGCCACACUGGGACUGAGACACGGCCCAGACUCCUACGGGAGGCAGCAGUGGGGAAUUUUGGACAAUGGGCGCAAGCCUGAUCCAGCAAUGCCGCGUGCAGGAAGAAGGCCUUCGGGUUGUAAACUGCUUUUGUACGGAACGAAACGGUCCUGGUUAAUACCCGGGGCUAAUGACGGUACCGUAAGAAUAAGCACCGGCUAACUACGUGCCAGCAGCCGCAGUAACAC
rnacentral:rRNA from 1 species